AUUCCAGCUCCAAUAGCGUAUAUUAAAGUUGUUGCGGUUAAAAAGCUCGUAGUUGGAGUUCUGCCAGGUGCCACCUGUCCGCCCCAGUGGUGAGUACGUGGUGCGCAUUUGGCCCUUUCAAGGGGAGCGUAUUUGCACUUAAUUGUGUGGUGCGGGAUCCUUGACUUUUACUUUGAGGAAAUAAGAGUGUUCCAAGCAGGCUCUCGUCGUGCAUAGCUCAGCAUGGAAUAAUAGCAUUGGACUUCGUUUCUACGCUGUUGGUUGCAAGAAGCGAAGUAAUGAUUAACAGGGACAGUCAGGGGCACUCGUAUUCCGCCGAGAGAGGUGAAAUUCUCAGACCAGCGGAAGACGAACCACUGCGAAAGCAUUUGCCAGGGAUGUUUUCAUUA
rnacentral:rRNA from 1 species